rnacentral:rRNA from 1 species
UACAGAGGUCCCAAGCGUUGUUCGGAUUCACUGGGCGUAAAGGGUGCGUAGGUGGCCAGGUAAGUUUGGUGUGAAAGCUCGGAGCUUAACUCCGAAAAGUCAUUGAAUACUAUCUGGCUGGAGGGUCGGAGGGGAGACUGGAAUUCUCGGUGUAGCAGUGAAAUGCGUAGAUAUCGAGAGGAACACCAGUGGCGAAGGCGAGUCUCUGGACGACUCCUGACACUGAGGCACGAAGGCCAGGGGAGCAAACGGG